rnacentral:sRNA from 1 species
GGCAGCCCGAGGGCGGCUCAAGGCCUGAGGCCCAGCACAGUGAUGUCCGAGCUCAGCGAUGAAGCCAGCGAGCCGGAACUCCUGAACCGCAGCUUGUCCAUGUGGCACGGGCUCGGGACACAGGUCAGCCGGGAGGAGCUGGAUGUCCCCCUGGAUCUUCACACAGCUGCUUCCAUUGGCCAGUAUGAAGUGGUGAAGGAGUGUGUGCAGCGGUAAGAGAUCUCUGGGAACUUCCUCUCACAUUUUGAGCAGCGCAGUGAUGGCUUCGGAUCCCAUGUGAUGGGGCUUUGCACACAGUUGUGGAUGUUUAAUGCGUGUAGAAUAGGUUAACCUGCUUAUCUCAGGCAGCUGUCAGUAAGUAUUGAUGCUGGGCCCUGACAAAGAGGCAGUUUUUAUUCCUAGGAAGAAAAAGAGGGAGUAAACUUUGAUCAGAAGCUUAUAAACAGUCAUUCUUUAACCAGACUAAUUUUAUUCACUAAUUGCAGAAAUGCCCAAACAAACAAGCAAAAUAAAAAUAAAGACAGAAAGUGAUGGCCUGGUGCGGUGGCUCACACUUGUAAUUCCGGCACUUUGGGAGGCUGAGAUGGGCGGGUCACUUGAGGUCAGGAGUUUGAGACCAUUCUGGAUAACAUGAUGAAACCCCAUCUCUACUAAAAAUAUAAAAGUUAGCUGGGUGUGGUGGCAUGUACCUGUAAUCCCAGCUACUCAGGAGGCUGAGGCAGGAGAAUCGCUUGAACCCAGGAGGCGGAGGUUGCAGUGAGCUGAGAUUGCGCCACUGCACUCUAGCCUGGGCAACAGAGUGAGACUCUGUCUCAAAAACAAAAAAAAGAAAAAA